rnacentral:rRNA from 1 species
GAAAGUGUAUCUAGGAUUAUAU